GACGCCCUUUGGUUGGUCCUGGCAAGGACCGUGUUUCGGUCGCAGGCACUGUGGGAAACGGAAAAAGAAAGCGAAUUCGAAUAAGACAGCCCCGGUGGAGCCAUGCUUCUUAUGCAGGUGUUUUCCCUUCUUUGCAGGGUUCUGCCUCAAAAUCAGAUGUCUUUCCCACCGCCGUCUAGCAUACGUGCAGGGCUUGAACGCGCGUUAUGGGGGACUUCCCAGUGCAGAAGCGAAGAGAAGAUGCCUGUAACACUGAUGCCAACAGAAGGAGGCACCCUUGGUUGGUGCGUACAGGGCCCAGUGACAGACGAAGAGGGACUUUAACCACCAACUCAGCUUAGGAGGAAGCCAAGAAUGAAGGUUUUCUAUCUCUCAGCCUUAGGCUCCACGCCAAGUGUGGAGUCCAAUGUGGGGCU